rnacentral:rRNA from 1 species
UGCUGGAGCGAAUAGAAGUGAGCAUGCAGGCAUGAGUAGCGAUAAUUAAUGUGAGAAUCAUUAACGCCGUAAACCCAAGGUUUCCUACGCGAUGCUCGUCAUCGUAGGGUUAGUCGGGUCCUAAGUCGAGUCCGAAAGGGGUAGACGAUGGCAAAUUGGUUAAUAUUCCAAUACCAACAUUAGUGUGCGAUGGAAGGACGCUUAGGGCUAAGGGGGCUAGCGGAUGGAAGUGCUAGUCUAAGGUCGUAGGAGGUUAUACAGGCAAAUCCGUAUAACAAUACUCCGAGAACUGAAAGGCUUUUUGAAGUCUUCGGAUGGAUAGAAGAACCCCUGAUGCCAUCGAGCCAAGAAAAGUUUCUAAGUUUAGCUAAUGUUGCCCGUACCGUAAACCGACACAGGUGGGUGGGAUGAGUAUUCUAAGGCGCGUGGAAGAACUCUCUUUAAGGAACUCUGCAAAAUAGCACCGUAUCUUCGGUAUAAGGUGUGGUUCGCUUCGUAUUAGGAUUUACUCCGAAAGCGAAGAAACUUACAACAAAGAGUCCCUCCCGACUGUUUACCAAAAACACAGCACUCUGCUAACUCGUAAGAGGAUGUAUAGGGUGUGACGCCUGCCCGGUGCUCGAAGGUUAAUUGAUGGGGUUAGCAUUAGCGAAGCUCUUGAUCGAAGCCCGAGUAAACGGCGGCCGUAACUAUAACGGUCCUAAGGUAGCGAAAUUCCUUGUCGGUUAAAUACCGACCUGCAUGAAUGGCGUAACGAGAUGGGAGCUGUCUCAAAGAGGGAUCCAGUGAAAUUGUAGUGGAGGUGAAAAUUCCUCCUACCCGCGGCAAGACGGAAAGACCCCGUGGACCUUUACUACAGCUUGACACUGCUACUUGGAUAAGAAUGUGCAGGAUAGGUGGGAGGCUUUGAGUAUAUGACGCCAGUUGUAUAUGAGCCAUUGUUGAGAUACCACUCUUUCUUAUUUGGGUAGCUAACCAGCUUGAGUUAUCCUCAAGUGGGACAAUGUCUGGUGGGUAGUUUGACUGGGGCGGUCGCCUCCCAAAUAAUAACGGAGGCUUACAAAGGUUGGCUCAGAACGGUUGGAAAUCGUUCGUAGAGUAUAAAGGUAUAAGCCAGCUUAACUGCAAGACAUACAAGUCAAGCAGAGACGAAAGUCGGUCUUAGUGAUCCGGUGGUUCUGUGUGGAAGGGCCAUCGCUCAAAGGAUAAAAGGUACCCCGGGGAUAACAGGCUGAUCUCCCCCAAGAGCUCACAUCGACGGGGAGGUUUGGCACCUCGAUGUCGGCUCAUCGCAUCCUGGGGCUGGAGCAGGUCCCAAGGGUAUGGCUGUUCGCCAUUUAAAGCGGUACGCGAGCUGGGUUCAGAACGUCGUGAGACAGUUCGGUCCCUAUCUGCCGUGGGCGUAAGAAGAUUGAAGAGAUUUGACCCUAGUACGAGAGGACCGGGUUGAACAAACCACUGGUGUAGCUGUUGUUCUGCCAAGAGCAUCGCAGCGUAGCUAAGUUUGGAAAGGAUAAACGCUGAAAGCAUCUAAGCGUGAAGCCAACUCUAAGAUGAAUCUUCUCUAAGCUCUCUAGAAGACUACUAGUUUGAUAGGCUGGGUGUGUAAUGGAUGAAAGUCCUUUAGCUGACCAGUACUAAUAGAGCGUUUGGCUUAUCUUUAAUAAAGCAU